rnacentral:rRNA from 1 species
GCAAGUCUACUUGAACUUCUAGCUUGCUAGAAUGGAUGGUGGCGAACGGGUGAGUAACGCGUAGAUAAUCUGCCCUUUAGACUGGGAUAAGCUCGGGAAACUGAGUCUAAUACCGGAUAUAAUGUUUUCUUCGCAUGGAGAGGAUAUGAAAGAUCUCGAAUCACUAAAGGAUGAGUCUGCGUAGCAUUAGCUAGUUGGUGAGGUAACGGCUCACCAAGGCAUCGAUGCUUAGCUGGUCUGAGAGGAUGAUC